CGGAGGGAGUACGUAAGCUGCUGUCGUCAAAUCCUGAACAGCCGGGCCGCUAUUUUAGUACAGUAGCUAUAGUAGACACAAGACACUCCAAAAUCUUGUUUCUUCUGAUUGUGAUCAGAUGGCGCGGCUGCGGCGACUCCGCUUACUCGCAAUCGUUCAGCUCGCCGUGGCGAUCUGGCUGGCGGCCACGAGUAGCUACCAGUGCAAGCUCGACGCCGUCCCGCCACCGCCGCCGCCGCCGACCGUGCUGGUGGACGGCGGCCGUACGCCGGCGACUCCUCCUCCUCCAAAGGCAAAUCGCCCUCCGCCACCGUCGCCGCCGGAGGGUUGCUCCGGCCAGCACUUGCGCCUACAGCCUUAGCUAUAUAGUAUGUGUCGUCGUAUCGAGCAACAAAGAUUGAGAAAAUUAAGUAUGGAGUACCAAUUAACGCACUGUACUACUAUACGUGUGUUUUCUGAAUAAACUUGGUGCAUCAGAUUUGCACA